rnacentral:rRNA from 1 species
UACCAGCACCCCGAGUGGUCGGGACGAUUAUUGGGCCUAAAGCAUCCGUAGCCGGUUCUACAAGUCUUCCGUUAAAUCCACCUGCUUAACAGAUGGGCUGCGGAGGAUACUAUAGAGCUAGGAGGCGGGAGAGGCAAGCGGUACUUAGUGGGUAGGGGUAAAAUCCGUUGAUCCAUUGAAGACCACCAGUGGCGAAGGCGACUUCCUGGCCUGUUCUUGACGCUGAGGCGCGAAAGCUAGGGUAGCAAACGGG